UUUUAAUUCAAAUUUUUUUUCGAACCAGUGCUUCAGCAUACAGAUAUAAAAACUAAAACUCGGCGUGAUGCGAGUGGAAAACAAUAAGAUCUCGGGCACCUGAACCCAAAAGUCUCGAUAAUGAUGAGGUAGAACUGGAAAGGGGUGAUGGCAAAACUGAUCCACAAGCAACGUUGGAACUUCUAAAUGAUUCUGUUACACCGGUUGGAAAACUGAAAGAGAUGAUGGGAGGUCAACGUCAUUACGUGGCGGAAAUGAUAGCGCCAAAAAAGAUUAGCCUCGAAUAAUUCCGUCUGAAACUCGUGUAACAGAUGCCGAGAAAAGUGAUGAUACAGCAAAAGCAAAAAAGGAGCAAAGAAAGGACGAGCAGCAAUGAUGACUUGAUCGGUCAAAAGUGAAGGAGAAAGCCAUGAAUGAGCCUGCACCAAAAUGGAAGAAAUCGGUGAAGUACCAGUGAAGAACCAACAGUUGUUGUUGCAAGUGAAAUGGGAACCAGAUGUCUGUUGUCGAAGACAUGGGGUUCGGCAACCUCGUUCUUUACAAGGUGAUAUCACUUCCCGGCAAACUUGCGUACGAUAUGCUUGAGAAUUUCGAUCAAAAUGGGUGCGGUGUGAAAUAGCAACAUGACACACUUCAACUCUGCGAGUAAGACGUGCAAGCAAGUUAGUUGACGAGCUUGCACGUGAUGGCCACCAGAAGUACAACAAGUUUGUUGACGAGCUUGCACGUGAUGCAAACAAAACCAACAACACCAUGGGCCCAAAAUACCUCACUUAGAAGUUGCUGAGUGAUACGACAGGAGGUGAUCUUUUCCGAAAACUGUUCAUUUUUUUGUUUGACACUAUCUUAGUGAACCCUUUAGGAGAUGGAUACUGCCAUUCACAAAUUCUUGAAGUCAUAGGGAAUGUGCGGGGCUAUAGUUGGUGCGGGUACGUGCUGGACACGCUAAUCUCUGCUUAUGAGAUGUGGGCAACAGAUACCACCAAGGCAUUCUCUGGCCCACUCUCAUUUCUUGUGGCAUGCUAUGUUGAAUAGACGUGUUGUUGCACGUGCGUUCCCCAUGGUUAAGGAAGGGACAACACAAGUCCUAAACAAAAGGCAGAAGAUGGAGCUCAAUCCUGGGCCAUUUGGUAGGGGAUGCUCAUCAUCUAAUCUUUGACCCAUGGGAGAGCGUAUCUAUUGAACAACCAAACCAAAGGUUGUGUGCAUCGAUUCUUCACCCAGGAUGAAAUCCAAGAGAACGGAUGUGCCAAAAAUAGACGGGCUAUGAUGGGUAGGUACUAUGCACAACACUGCCGACGCGACGCCAUAGCCGAGCUAAUGACAAUGAUGCAAGUCGUUUCUGAAGAUAUUAUGUUUGAUCGACAUGGAAGACUCAUCUUCAAGUUUUAUUGAGGGGAGUAAUGAUGAUAUACAGUUUCUAUAUGGUUUUAAAAGUAAGAAGAAAAGUUUUGUUGAGGGAAGUGAUGAUGAUAUAUAGAUUCUAGAUGAUUCUAAAAGUAAGAAGAGAAAAUCUGACGUUUGGAAUCACUUUACGGAGGAAAAACAGCCUAAUAAAGAUGGAAAGCUAACGGUCAAGUGCAAUCAUUGUGGUCAAGCAUAUACAUAUGAAGGUACAAAACAUGGUACUUCAACUUUUUAGUCAUCAUUUGAAGGUGUGUGAGAAAAAACCAAUGUUUGGAAAUGUGAAUUUUAUGUUACGUGAUCAUGAUGGAAAGUUGAAGGUUAGGUCUAAAGUAAUUGCCCCAAAAAUUUGUCGGGCGUGGAUGACUAAGAUAACAGUUGCACAUGAUCUUCCAUUGAAUUGGGUUGAAUUUGAAAAUGUGAGAGAUUAUCACUCGUAUUUGAACUCGGAUGUAAAAUUUAUCUCAAGAAAUACUCUUGCCUCUGAUGUGAUAAAUAUGUAUAAAAUUGAAAAGGAGAAACUGAGGAUUAGACUGAAUAGUAUUUCUUGGAUGUUGUGCUUAACUUCUGAUGUUUGGACUGCAUGCACUAAUUCGGGUUACAUUUGUUUAACUGCGCAUUAUGAGGAUGAUAAAUGGAAAUUGAAUAGCAAAAUACUUGCCUUUUGUUCUAUGCCUCCUCCGCAUUCUGGACCCGACUUAGCUCAGAAGAUUUUUGAAAUAUUGGUAGAUUGGAAGAUAGAGAAGAAAGUUUUUUCUUUAACUUUGGAUAAUGCGUCUGCCAAUAAUGACGUGGUUCAAAUUUUGAAGACAAGACUUCAAAUACAAAAUUCAUAAUUGUGCAAGGGUGAAUAUUUUCAUGUUAGAUGUUGUGCACAUAUCUUGAACCUUAUAGUUCAAGAAGGGUUAAAAGUUGCUAGUGAUGCUAUAGAAAAGAUUAGAGGAAGUGUUAAAUAUGUAAAAGCAUCGGAAGGCAUCUUGAUGAUGUUUAAGGAAUGUGCUAAAAAAUAUGGUGUUGAAUUCACUUCUUCUCUUUACUUGGAUGUGCCUACUCGUUGGAAUUCCACAUACUUGAUGCUUUGUAGUGGAAUUAAAUACCGACAUGUUUUUGAUAUGUUUCGAUUUGAAGAUUUGAAUUAUAAGCAAUGUCCAACAGAGAAAGAGUGGGAAAGGGGAGAAGUGAUGCGUAGAUUCUUAAAGCCAUUUUACAAUAUCACUACAUUGAUUUCUGGCUCAUCAUACCCUACUUCCAAUCUCUAUUUUAUGGAAAUUUGGAAGAUUGCAUCUUUAUUGAAUAGAAUGUCCGAAAGUCAAGAUGAAGUGCUCAAGUCUAUGUCUCAUAAAAUGAAACUGAAAUUUGAUAAAUAUUGGAAAGAGUAUAGUGAAAUACUGUCUGUGGGAGCAGUGCUUGAUCCGAGAAUGAAGUUGAAAGUUUUGGAGUAUUUUUAUUCCAGAAUUGAUCCUCUUUCAAGCAAAAGGAUAAAAUUCUGAAGCUGAAGAUGAAAAUGUAUACUCUUCUUUAUGAUGAGUAUAAGAAAAGGGGUGUUGGGGAAUUUUUGUUUAAAGUUCCUCAAGCUAGUAGUGGAAGUUCUAGUUCUCAAGUUAGAGAACUUGAAUUCAUGGAUAAAGAAGAAGUAAGGAGAGAAGAAAUGAAUCAUGCAUUGAAUUGGGAUGAAGACGACUUUGUUAUUUAUAAGAAUCUAAUAGGUGCAACUUAUGAAGAAAAGUCACCGCUGGAUAUUUAUUUGGAGGAAGGUCUAAUGGCUGAAAAUGUUGAGCUUGAUUUACUCAAGUAUUGGAGAGAAAAUGCAUCCCGCUUUGGAGAACUUUCUAGAAUGGCAUGUGAUGUGCUUAGCAUUCCUAUAACAACGGUAGCAUCAAAAUCUUCAUUCAGUAUUGGAGUGCAUGUUUUGAAUAAAUACAGAAAUAGGCUCCUUCCCGAAGAAGUGCAAGCUCUUAUUUGUCUACAUAAUUGGUAGCGUGGAUAUUCUAACAACUAUGAGCUCGAUGCCAAUGAUCCGGUUGAUGCUUCAAACGUUCUUGAUGGGGAAGAACGUCAUUCAAAUGCUUAGAUUUUAUUUCAAUUGUACUUCUUUGUUCAUCUGAAUUCUUAAACAUGUAAUGGGUUAAAUCAU